rnacentral:rRNA from 1 species
CACUCCUACGGGAGGCAGCAGUGGGGAAUUUUGGACAAUGGGCGAAAGCCUGAUCCAGCAAUGCCGCGUGUGUGAAGAAGGCCUUCGGGUUGUAAAGCACUUUUGUCCGGAAAGAAAUCCUUGGCUCUAAUACAGUCGGGGGAUGACGGUACCGGAAGAAUAAGCACCGGCUAACUACGUGCCAGCAGCCGCGGUAAUACGUAGGGUGCGAGCGUUAAUCGGAAUUACUGGGCGUAAAGCGUGCGCAGGCGGUUUGCUAAGACCGGUGUGAAAUCCCCGGGCUCAACCUGGGAACUGCAUUGGUGACUGGCAGGCUAGAGUAUGGCAGAGGGGGGUAGAAUUCCACGUGUAGCAGUGAAAUGCGUAGAGAUGUGGAGGAAUACCGAUGGCGAAGGCAGCCCCCUGGGCCAAUACUGACGCUCAUGCACGAAAGCGUGGGGAGCAAACAGGAUUAGAUACCCGUGUAGUCCCA